CGUAGAACGCAGUCGGUAUCUCCCACUCUCAAAAAUCCUGCAAAUGCUCCUUCCUCUACUCUUUAUGCAAUGGUCGCUGGGUCGCUCGCCUCCGCUCGCCGCCACUGGCUGCAUCUUACAACUUAAUUAUUAGAACUUCUGGAGUAAUUCAACGAGAAACCUGACAUUUCCAUGUUAAAAGAAAAUCGACAAAAUAUUGAAAGUUUAUCUACUUGUCCUGAGAUUGCCUUGAUACAAAGAUACCGACUAUUGCAAUAAAACGUGACUUGCUGUUCAAAACAUUGGGUAAAACAUAUUACAAACAUCACGCUCUGACUGAGUGUCAAUGAAGCGAAUAGAGAAGGGGUGUGUUUGUUUGAAGACAAUGAAAAAGCAAAUGAUAGCAAGAGUAGUUUUGACCAAGGUAUACAUGCGUCCGAAGAAAUUAUCUACAAGAUUGACACGCCUGCCAACAGAUAUUAUCUGUUGUGCUUGGAGCCUAAGUACUGGACUACUUAUAUCUUUGAAUAAAACAUACAAAAGAACUGUAAUUGGUAAUAAAAAGCAAAACACAUAAUGCACAUUACACAAGAACUGCGUAAAGGAUGUGUGCCAGGACUCUUUAAAUUUCACUUUUUAAAUGUUCCUCCACCUAUGGCUGAAUGCAUAUAUAUAAAGUCUUUUUUCUAAACAGGAUGUUCAUCCCACAUUAUAUGGCAAUAAAACCAAAGGAAUGGAAAAGAUUAUAAUGACUUCAAGAAUUCUUAAAAAUAAGUGGACAUUUGGUUGUUUCAAUUUUGAGAGACGUUACUUUGACGCAAGAUUCUUACAAUAGUUUUAUUAAUCGUCAAGAAAAGUUGCAUCAAAAUAUAGGAAGAAGACAUAGUCUGGUCUCUAUUGGCACUCAUGAUUUGGAUGCAAUUAAAGGUCCAUUUCUAUAUGAUGCUAGACACCAUCAAAAAUACAGUUCAAACCAUUUAAUCGAGAUAAGCAGUUUUCGCUAAACAAGUUGACUGACUUGAUUCGAAUAGAAAUGGCCCAGGCAGGACUUUCUCUUUGUGCUCACGUGAGAAUGUAGCGGACAAAUUGGGAUACGAAAUAGAAGAUGUGCCGGCAGUUCACAUAUCCGAUCCAAAAACUUUGGAGUUUCAAAUAAAUCGACCGAUACCGCGCGCUCUUAUUAAAACCUCGGAAACCAGAGUUCUAUUCUUGAUUUCGCCUUUUUAUUUGAACGAUACAUGUGUGUAAUAGAACGUAAACAGAUAUCGUCGUGCGGACGUUUAAAUAAAAAAAAAAUUUGCAAAGAAUACAAGAUAUUUCUUUAUUUAUUAUACAUUUUCUACGUAAUAUACGUGCAACGCGUAGCAGUUAUGAGAAAACAGGCAGAUAGCUAUACGGAUUGAUUUGCUCUUUUUCCAUCCACUUCAAGUACAGGUACUUUGCCAAAUGGCAUAGCUGAAAAAUGAUUUUAAGCCACAUGAAUGCAACAUAAUAUUGUUAGAAUAAGAUUUAUAGUAGAGAACCUAUCUGGAUUGUCAUUAUAUAUAAGUGUGUUAUAGUGAUAAAAUUUGUAGCAAUUGUAUAUAUACAUAUUCAUUAAAAAUCUUUUGGUAAUUAAUAA
rnacentral:lncRNA from 1 species